CAUCCAUGGUCAGCUCCAUCGGGGCCGUUUCAAUGCAGAGAACAGACAUACACACUGAACAGUAACUGACGUCGUCACUUCCUGAGAGCCUCCUUGCCGGUUGGAGACGUGUAACCGGUGCCAACGUCAUGUGACCGAAACGACAGUUUGUGAGACUCAAAGUCUGAAUAAAUUUAAAAUAUAUAUAUUACAACUUGCUAAGAGAAAUGUUAUACUUCCAGUUAAAUCAAAGCGUUAUUGAUGUUUCAGAGCCGUCCGUCAAUGUCCGUUAGGAACGUUGUCGUCAUUACCGCAUUGCAUUGUGGGAUAUAAGUGCUGUUAAUGAUAUGCUAUUGAAAGCAUCGUAAACAGCUAAUAAGUGGACGUUGAGAUUAUUUUUCAAAUACAUGAAAUUGACAGUUUCUAUCCAGGCAAAUUAAUUAUUUGGAUGAUUUCAUAACUGCACCGUUCCAUCAACUAGAAAUGUGUUAACUUAACUUUUGAUCUGCAGAGGAAUUAGAAAUAAGAUGUUUAUCUGCACAGAAUGUCCCAACUGUUCCACCAGCAAGACAUUCGUUGGAGUUUUAGUCACUGUUUUUUUUGCAUCGUCAUCGAAAUUAUGCCUAGUUAGACUUUGUAAAAUCAAAACACUUUCCUGAAGUGAAGUGGCUGCAGGGCGUCUGUAACUAAUGACAUGUUGUGUUUACCGUCCAUGAACCUGACUUACAAUAGCUCAUCACAUUCUCUGACACAUUGCAGAUGUUUACGGUGUGACGGCUGAAAUCUGUCGGUUUCUCUGCCGCCGCCGUGACGCAUAAAACAUUUGUGAUCAGU